UACGUAGGGAGCGAGCGUUGUCCGGAUUUAUUGGGUUUAAAGGGAGCGUAGAUGGAUGUUUAAGUCAGUUGUGAAAGUUUGCGGCUCAACCGUAAAAUUGCAGUUGAAACUGGCAGUCUUGAGUACAGUAGAGGUGGGCGGAAUUCGUGGUGUAGCGGUGAAAUGCUUAGAUAUCACGAAGAACUCCGAUUGCGAAGGCAGCUCACUAGACUGUCACUGACACUGAUGCUCGAAAGUGUGGGUAUCAA
rnacentral:rRNA from 1 species